rnacentral:rRNA from 1 species
CGCUGGCGGCGUGCCUAAGCUUAUGCAAGUCGAACGCGAACGGUUCCUUCGGGAACCCAGUAGAGUGGCGAACGGGUGAGUAACGCGUGGGUAACCUGCCCCGGCCCUGGGGAUAACUCCCGGAAACGGGAGCUAAUACCGAAUGUGGCCCCUCUUCGGAUGGAGAGUGGCUAAAGGUGGCCUCUGCUUGCAAGCUGCCGGGUCGGGAGGGGCCCGCGUCCCAUUAGCUAGUUGGUGGGGUAACGGCUCACCAAGGCUGCGAUGGGUAGCCGGCCUGAGAGGGUGUACGGCCACACUGGCACUGAGACAAGGGCCAGUCCCCUAUGGGAGGCGCAGGCGGGAAUAGUUCCCAAUGGACGAAAGUCUGAGGACGCGACGCCGCGUGAGCGAAGAAGGCCUUCGGGUUGUAAAGCUCUGUCAGGAGGGAAGAAGGUGCGACGGGUUAAUACCCCGGCGCACUGACGGUACCUCCAGAGGAAGCCCCGGCUAAAUACGUGCCAGCAGCCGCGGUAAUACGUAUGGGGCGAGCGUUGUCCGGAAUCACUGGGCGUAAAGGGCGCGCAGGCGGUUGGGUAAGUCGGAGGUGAAAUCCCCAGGCUCAACCUGGGACCUGCCUUCGAUACUGCCCGGCUAGAGUGGCGGAGAGGAAAGCGGAACUCCUGGUGUAACGGUGGAAUGUGUAGAUAUCAGGAGGAACACCGGUGGCGAAGGCGGCUUUCUGGACGCACACUGACGCUCAGGCGC